GUGUUGUGCUUUACUGAUGACAUCACAAAGGCCAACUCUCAUUGGUGAAAUCUCAGGGAGUAAGAUGUUGUUAGCCCGGCACUUCGUUCUGAAGAGCUCCAAAGCUUAUACAAUUUUAUAAGAUUUGAAUUGGCUGCAGAAGAGAUAUAAAUGCCUAAGUGUUUGCCACAUUAAUGGACCACCGGAUAAAAAUGCUUCUCCUAGCUCAAUGGAAUGGAUCAAUAAGAACACCUGAAUUCUUGGAGUUUUUAAAACAUCACAAGCUGCCUGAAGAAGAUGUGGCUAGGAGGAACUUUUCUGAGUUGAGGUGACUGUUA
rnacentral:lncRNA from 1 species